rnacentral:misc_RNA from 1 species
CUCCUUUCUAAGGAGCACCACGAGAAACAUCCCCGGUUGGUGGGGGUGUGUGCCGUGUGGAGUCGGUUGCUGUAGUGGCGCCGGCUGGGUGCGCAACAAACGUGUUCAUCCCUGUGAAACGGGUGUUUUUUGGGGGUGGCGGGAUCACCGGACACACUAUUGGGCUUUGAGGCAACACGCCUGUGUUGUCGCCCCGUCUUUGGUGGUGGGG